rnacentral:rRNA from 1 species
GACGAACGCUGGCGGCGUGCUUAACACAUGCAAGUCGAACGGAAAGGCCCUGCUUUUGUGGGGUGCUCGAGUGGCGAACGGGUGAGUAACACGUGAGUAACCUGCCCUUGACUUUGGGAUAACUUCAGGAAACUGGGGCUAAUACCGGAUAGGAGCUACUGCUGCAUGGUGGGGGUUGGACAGUGUCGGUGGUUGGGGAUGGACUCGCGGCUUAUCAGCUUGUUGGUGGGGUAGUGGCUUACCAAGGCUUUGACGGGUAGCCGGCCUGAGAGGGUGACCGGCCACAUGGGGACUGAGAUACGGCCCAGACUCCUACGGGAGGCAGCAGUGGGGAAUAUUGCACAAUGGGCGGAAGCCUGAUGCAGCAACGCCGCGUGCGGGAUGACGGCCUUCGGGUUGUAAACCGCUUUCGCCUGUGACGAAGCGUGAGUGACGGUAAUGGGUAAAGAAGCACCGGCUAACUACGU